CCCUUAGAUGUUCUGGGCCGCACGCGUGCUACACUGACCGGCGCAACAAGCUUUUUUCCUUGGCUCGACAGGCCUGGGUAAUCUUCGAACGCCGGUCGUGAUGGGGAUAGAUCCUUGCAAUUUUUGAUCUUCAACGAGGAAUUCCUAGUAAAUGCGAGUCAUCAUCUCGCGUUGAUUACGUCCCUGCCCUUUGUACACACCGCCCGUCGCUCCUACCGAUUGAAUGGUCCGGUGAAGCGCUCGGACCGCGGCCUCUUGACGGUUUUCCGUCGAUUGGCUGUGGGAAGUUGAGUAAACCUUAUCACUUAGAGGAAGCAAAAGUCGUANCA
rnacentral:rRNA from 1 species